rnacentral:lncRNA from 1 species
GCGACCGCUUGCCCGCCGGCCACAGCCCGCGCCCGCCCGCGCCCGCCGGCCGCCGCCCGCUCGCCCGCGCCCGCCCGCGUGGACAGACGGCGCGUGACGGGGGUGAAGUGGGAUGCCCCCGUCCGCUCGUUUUGGUGGGACGGGGGCAUCCCGCAUCUGGAGGGUAUAUUCCCUCGUAGGGAUGUCCCCGUCCCACCUGUCCUCCAACCAAACGCGGGACGAAGUGGGAUCGUCCCGUCCCGUCCCACUUCGUCCUCGCAACCAAACGCACCCU